GCUAUUAUUGCUUAAUGGUAAAGCAGAUCACUGUUAAUGAUCCCAUCUAGGUUCAAUUCCUAGUAAUAGCU
rfam:Conidiobolus coronatus NRRL 28638 unplaced genomic scaffold CONCOscaffold_420, whole genome shotgun sequence.